AAAAGAGCUGACGAGAAGAAAAACUAGCAAGUCUCUUCCCGUUUCUAUAUCGGACUUUCACUUUGCGGUGUGGAAAACCCUAACACCGGAUCUUGCUUUUCGUCGAAAUCGAUUCAUCUGCGUGAGUGAUGGAUAUCGAGCAGAAGCAGGCGGAGAUAAUUAAUCAUCUCGUUCACCGAGCUUCUUCAUGCAAAGGCGAGGCCCUGGGUCCUAUCAUAAUCGAAGCUACAUCGCAUCCUUCUCUAUUCGCCUUCUCCGAGAUUUUGGCUUUACCCAAUGUUGCCCAGCUUGAAGGAACCACAAAUUCUGUCUACCUGGAUGUGCUACGGUUGUUUGCCCAUGGCACCUGGGGUGACUACAAAUGCAAUGCUAGCCGUAUUCCUCAGUUGGCUCCUGAACAAAUACUAAAGCUAAAGCAGCUCACUGUGCUUACCCUUGCGGAGUCAAACAAGAUAUUGCCCUAUGGUACACUGAUGGUCGAGUUAGAUGUCACCAAUGUCCGUGAACUCGAGGACUUUCUUAUCAAUGAAUGCAUGUACGCGGGUAUAGUUAGAGGAAAACUGGAUCAGCUGAAAAGAUGUUUCGAGGUUCCAUUUGCAGCUGGUAGGGAUCUAAGGCCAGGACAACUUGGGAGUAUGCUACACACAAUGUCAAACUGGUUGAACACAUCAGAAAAUCUGCUUGUUUCAAUUCAAGAGAAGAUAAAAUGGGCGGACAAUAUGAGUGAGAUGGACAAAAAACAUCGUAAAGAAGCCGAAGAAGUGGUGGAAGAAGUGAAGAAGUCUCUGUCCAUGAAGAGGGCAUAAAGAGAUGUUUGGGGAACCAAGUGGAGUGAUGGACUACGAAAAAGAUGGAAUCCGACCAAAGAGGAGGAGGCAUCCGGUACCAAGGUAGGGAUUUGUAAUGUUGUUAAUGGACAAACCAUUUACGGAGAGUAGAUUAUGAUGAUGAUGAUUUUGGGGUGGGGUGGAGGGGGACUUAUGUAAUGUAAGCCCUCUUUUGCUUGCAAACAUGAGGGUGACUCUUGAGAUAAUUAUAUAUACAUAGAGAGAGGAAGAGAGGCCCCUCCUCUGUUUUUCUAUUAUAUUUGCACUUUCUUGAAAACGCUUUACUUAGGCCACGUUUUCCAUUAA